AUACGGAGGAUGCGAGCGUUAUCCGGAUUUAUUGGGUUUAAAGGGAGCGUAGGUGGGAUAUUAAGUCAGCUGUGAAAGUUUGGGGCUCAACCUUAAAAUUGCAGUUGAUACUGGUUUCCUUGAGUACGGUACAGGUGGGCGGAAUUCGUGGUGUAGCGGUUAAAUGCUUAGAUAUCACGAAGAACUCCGAUCGCGAAGGCAGCUCACCGGGCCGGAACUGACACUGAUGCUCGAAAGUGCGGGUAUCAAACAGGAUUAGAUACCCUGGUAGUCCGCACAGUAAACGAUGAAUACUCGCUGUUUGCGAUACACUGUAAGCGGCCAAGCGAAAGCGUUAAGUAUUCCACCUGGGGAGUACGCCGGCAACGGUGAAACUCAAAGGAAUUGACGGGG
rnacentral:rRNA from 1 species